AUUUCCUUUAGCUCUUUAGGUCUAAACUGUUUUCAUAACGGCGUUCAGUGAACGAGGAACAUUUGAAGUGACAUUGUUGCAACUCAUCAAAGACUGUUGCUUUUUAUGACGAGUGAGUUAAUGCUUUGAUUUGAAUUGCAGUGGCUGAAAUUCCGUUGAAAUUGCGAGGAGACCAGUAGAAAGCAGCAUUGUGGCGGUUCUAUUUUGACUUGCUACUGGCACAAAAGGAGUGUGAGUAGAGAGGAUGAACUUUCGGUGGAUUACCGGUGAUUCUGACUAAUUCUAUCCCUACUGAUUCGAGCGAGGACAGACAACUGAGGGCUAUAUCGUGUUGAUUUUCACGUACCUUGUGAUAGACUUGCUGCAUGGGAGCGGUAAAAGUGUGAAUUUUUUAGGAAGUGUUUCAAUAUUUGUGGACGGAAACAAACACACUGCUUAUAAGGACUGGAACCAUUAACUGUAACCAGAUGAGGGGGAGCGGACAUGAUAUUCCCUGAUGACUACAUGGAGGUAAAGGGUAACAGAGUGACUGGAGCAGCUGCAUCUAAGAUAAAAGGGAAAACAGGACUUUGUGUGGACAUAUUGAAUUCACAAAAUCAAUCGAGAAUGCAGUUUGGCAUGAGGCAGUGCUGUAACCUGCACCAUUACACAGGACAGAUAGAUGAUGGUGCUUCUUGAGGCUGCAGUGUGGCAUGAGGCAGUGCUGUAACCUGCACCAUGACACGGGACAGAUAGAUGAUGGUGCUUUUGAGGCUGCAGUGUGGCAUGAGGCAGUGCUGUAACCUGCACCAUGACACAGGACAGAUAGA